UACGUAGGGGGCAAGCGUUGUCCGGAUUUAUUGGGCGUAAAGAGCUCGUAAGUGGUUCGGUAAGUCGGAUGUGAAAUCUCCAGGCUCAACCUGGAGGGGUCAUUCGAUACUGCCGUGACUAGAGGUCGGUAGGGGAGUGUGGAAUUCCUGGUGGAGCGGUGAAAUGCGCAGAUAUCAGGAGGAACACCCGUAGCGAAGGCGGCACUCUGGGCCGAUACUGACGCUGAGGAGCGAAAGCGUGGGGAGCGAACAGG
rnacentral:rRNA from 1 species